rnacentral:misc_RNA from 1 species
AAAUGGCAAGGUAUCAACUGCAUACUGCCAAAGCAAAUGUAGUUUUGAGUUUCAUCUCAGAAGCAACUGGGUCCCUUCAAAUUUCAAUCAAGGAAUAGAAAUGGAAAAGAAAAUAAGUUAUUGAUGAAAUACUUGAAUAACUGCAUCGUUGAAUACGAAGCUUCCUGAUGAUGUUUCUGCCUCUAUUCUUCUCUUAAACUGUUCAUUUUUGGUGAAGGCAUAAA